GGCAAUAUGGCCGAGCGGUCUAAGGCGCCAGAAUCAGGCUUCCAUAAGCAUCUGGUCCGAAAGGGCGUGGGUUCGAAUCCCACUGUUGUCA
rnacentral:tRNA from 1 species